CAGACUUGAUCAUUUCCCUAAACACUGACUGUCCAGGUUAUUUUAUUUGUUUAAGAGGAACUACAUUUUCCAAACAGCAUAUAAUGUCAGCCUGUGCCUGUGUCCAGAUCCUUAUCACAACUCUGCAGCAGUAUGUAAACACAGAUGCUGACUCAGGUCAUGAAGGUGUGCUAUGUGCUGGCCGAGUCAAACCCCAGAGAUGAGACGGAGGAGGAGGCAUUGCAGUAAAUCAUCAGCUAAACAUCUCUCCGAGGCUCUUUGAAUCAUUUCCUUAUAAGGACCAACGGGCUGGUGAUGCAGCGAUACAAUCAGGUCUGCUGUAGGUCCAGGAAAAAUUUGCUCCCUUGAUUUAUUUUUUUUUUUUAAAUGAAGCACAAUGGGAAGUUUGACUUGAGUAGGACUGGACAGAGAACAGGGCGGACAGGAGGCAGGAAGACUGAUGGGUGUCUAAAAGACCGGGAGGAAGAGACAGUGUGGACACCCAAAAAAAAGUGUAAAAGAAAAGGGAACCGGGUCCAGCAUCCAGCAGUCGGAAAUACCAGCGUGACGGAGAGCUGCGGUCUGAUCGCUCAGCUGAUGACGGACACUUCCUCCUGGAGUCUGCCUGAUAACACUGUUUACACGGGGUAACCUCGCCGCAAAACCCCUCAUCCAAAAAGACUAAUCCAGCAGUGGCAACCAUUCAAACAGCCAAAAGGUGUCCUGAGAAAGGUUCAGUUGCUCAAAGCCCGGGUUCAUUUCCCUGCUGCACCUCAAAGGAGAGUGGCACCGAAUGACAUAGUUCAAAGGAUUUAAUAAUAUGCUUCACCCCAAAAACUCGUAGACGACAAGCGUUUCGAGAGGUGGAAUGUCAUUUCGGAAUGAAACGUGUUUGUUUUGUUUGGGCCUCAGGACUGUUCCCUUGGUUGACUAAACACUGUAUGACAGCCAGUGUCUCGUGGGGUAACAGAGGAGUGCUCAAACGGCACAUAUCUGCGACAGCGGUGAGCCACUUGCAAUAUCAUGAAACAAAUUUUUAAUGGUACAAAAGUGUCAGUUGACACCACAAAGUUCACAAAGCCAGACUUUGUUGAUAGAGGAUAUAUGUUAUUUCCUUUUUUAAAUUUUUUUUUAAAGGAACCAAAGCAAUUAAACUGUGAUUGAAUAAUUUGAUAGUCGGAAUUUCAUUGGCCUUCAACUUCAUCUCAAUUGUAUUUUUUUUUCAAAAAGGUUGCGAACUACAGGUAAUAAUUAUGGAUUCUUACAUUUCUAGGCUUGGGGGUUUCAGAGAGACCCAGUGUCAGAGAAAAAGAGAAAUCAGCACAUUAAUUCAUUAGCUAUCCAUCAGCUCAUUAGCUUGUGAAUGGGGAAAGGAGCACAAUGAUUGUUGGAGGGCAGUGACCCAUGAUUGUGGUUUUGCUUGCAGAUGUAAAUGAAAACACACAUUCCAAUCUAAAAUCCCAGGGGAAACAUCACAUUCGCCUGAGCAGUGAGCAGGCACACAUACUGUAUAUGUUCUCACAGAGAGACAGACAGACAGACACACACACAAACACACACCAUAUAUCCAUCCAUGUAUCCAUCACCACUUGUCCAGUGCAGGUGAUGCUUCAACCAAAGAAAAAUGGUUUGCAGUGCUGGUCAUCACUCCUCCAAAGUCCGGCUAAUCAACAUGAUACUUUAAACUGAUCAACUUGAUGCAGACUCUGGCCAAAACCUGUUGCCAACUGCUGUUUAUCGAACUAAAUUCACCCUGAUGUCUGACCUGCGGUGCAGCAAAGUUUUGACUCUAAUUAUGACUGACUGAGCUCUUCUUCUCUAGAGUAGCAAAAGUUACGAAGAUUUUUUUUCCCCUGAUGUGCAGCUCUCAUAAAUUACUGAGAAGCAAGCAUAUGAAUCGAGUGAUGAUCACUCACCUGCUGAGCUGAAGCAGACAGAUCCUUGCCCAUCUCAUCUUGUUACUACAUUCAAACAGAUUCAAAUAGAUUCACAUAUUGAGCAUGUUCCUUUCCGUGUGAUUCAGAAGAACACACUUCUUCCCUGAACAUUUACAGGCCUAAUCAAAUUUAAAAUACUGUACGCUUGUUUAAAAUGUAAGAAAUUUAUUUUUCUUUUCUUUUUUCAUUUCCUUCUUACACCUGUCGCGGUCGCAGACGGUUGGGGUAUCUCGGUUCUGUUGGCCUGUAUAACAAUACGAGAUUGUGAACGUUGGUAUCAAGGAUUCGCUCUUGGUUUAAGAAUUGUUUCACCUAAAGUGUAGACGUCAACUAUUUCAUGUACAGAAAGCGCCUCUGAAAAAGAAACGCUCCGGGAAAACCUGUUUGACACUGACUUUGAUUCAAGCUUUAAGGGCAGAUAUCAGUUUAACAUCUGAUACUUCUAAUGAUGUCAGUGUAUUUGAUCCUCACAUCUGUGACCAUGUGCGGACGAAGCCUUUGACAAACACCUGCUGGCUGAGGUAAUCUAAGCGCCCAGCUGAGUGAUCGUGCAUGGCCCGAUCACUUUGCAGUGAGAUGAUUUCUCGCUUCUCAGCAUUGCUUUGACACCAUCUUUCUCAUCUUUGUUCAUCGGCACACACUGUACCUGAGGGGAAAUGAAGACACUGACUUAUCACAUAGCUGACAUAACCUGAAGGUCUGGUCUGUAAAAUGCAACACCUCUUUGUGUGGCGACGUAUAAUGUACAGUAAGUGAUGAAAUACAAUUUUGUAUUCAACCCCUUUUUUCUCACGGAUCCUCCAGGUGUCUUUUGAGACACCAAAUAGGAGUUUGUAUGAAAAAAACCUUCAGGACACUUUGCACUUCAGCUGGAUCAAGGGCGUGUGAACCCAUCAAUCACAUUCAAAUUCAUUUACGCAGAGCUAAUGGUUCAAACAUAAGUUGCCGCUUAGCAGAAUGAACCAGGGAGCCAAAGACGUCCUCGUAGUCUUUCAGCUGCGAUUUUUGCUUAGUCAGUCAUGACCGGUCAUUCAAGGAUAACCCCUCUUUGGUUCUUGGCAUCAGAGACCAAAUGGGAGAAACACUGGAGCAGGCAUGUGAGGCUUUGGUGGUUUGUUUUGAAUAAUAGUGAUUUAUGAUUUAUGAUGUAUGGACUUCAUCCAGAUGUUUUGGUGAUGUUUUCCUGUCAAUAAAAAUUCAAAAUUGAAGUUAUGCUGAAAAAUGCAAACUCCUGUGCUGUACCAUCGGAGUGAGAAACACAGACAAAAACCUGGCAUGCAUAUUAUUAAAUAUUGAAAUCAUUUAAAACAUGAUAUAUAAAAAUGUUCUGUUCCUUUUUUGUUUGUUUUUUGGAAGCAAAUAAGAGACCGUUUAUGUUUAAACUAACCAGAUGACAAUGUCUGUUUUGGAAAAUCUAAGUAUUUCAUCACAUUCAUGCAUAAAAAAUAAAAUAAAAACUUGCUUAAAGGAA